rnacentral:rRNA from 1 species
UACGUAGGGUGCGAGCGUUAAUCGGAAUUACUGGGCGUAAAGCGUGCGCAGGCGGUUCGUUGUGUCUGCUGUGAAAUCCCCGGGCUCAACCUGGGAAUGGCAGUGGAAACUGGCGAGCUUGAGUGUGGCAGAGGGGGGUGGAAUUCCGCGUGUAGCAGUGAAAUGCGUAGAGAUGCGGAGGAACACCGAUGGCGAAGGCAACCCCCUGGACUGACACUGACGCUCAGGCACGAAAGCGUGGGGAGCAAACAGG